rnacentral:tRNA from 1 species
AAUCAGAUUAAACUUGGAGUUAAGAUUUUCAUUUACACUGAAAUUAUAAUCGUGCGAUUCGAUAUAAUCUG